CCAUCUACAUUAAUAGUCUUUUUUAUGAUCUAUUUUUCUUUCAUCUAACCAUUUAAAUGAAUUUAAAAAGAUAGCUCCUCCAGGAGACGGCAAUUACAUCAACAAACGAUCCUUCCUUCAUAUUGGUCUACAUAUUAGACAUCAAUAUUCAUUCUGUAGUACCCCAAGAAUCUCUUACUUCAUAGACACGUUGCUUAGCACUUCCCUAGCAUCUACCACAUAUUUCUUUCUGAUAGUUGGACAGCAAGAUAUAGCCAAAAACAAAUUCUGGUAGUAGCAUUACACAAUAAAUAAUGGUGAGAAUGACAUUGAAUACAAGCUUAUUCAUUAUAAAAGCAUCACAACCUUAUCUACCAUUGCCUCAUUCUUUUCAUGAUAAAUUUGGGGCAAUAUUGUCUGGCUUAAACCCACUGAUGAAUCAAUAUUUGAAGAACUCGAAGGUUUAAGUGAUGACCCAGUUGAAUCCUCCCAACAUCGGAAGAGAUUGAUGAUGUUUUAGGUUAUUUAUUAGGUCGGGCAACUGCCAAAAUAGCUAAAGCUUGAACAUCUUGUGGCACUUUGUCACGAACUACAAUGUCAUGCCCUGUAGAGUCCUGAUAGGUGAGACUUUACUGCAAUAUUCCUCCUGAAUAUUACUUUUGUCAAAAUUUACAUCUAAAUCUAACCUUUAGAUCAUCAGCAUAUUCCCAAAAUUGGUCUUUAGCUUUUCCUAUUUUACUUCAACC
rnacentral:lncRNA from 1 species